ACGGUUGUGAAACCGUUACUAUAGACUGUAUAUCGCAACGAUUGUAACCGUUGCAUAAGGUUUUGCUAUCACCACACUUUAGCACUGAAGUCGUUGCAUUAGUGUCGAAACCGUUGCAGUAUAGUGACUUUUUGCAACGGCUUUUGUAAUUGUUGCAAUAAAUAAGGCCCUCCUACAAUUGUGACACUACUUUCCUCGACUAACCUCACAUUUGAGAACCGUCUACCACCAUCAAAACCAAAAGCGAUGGCCGCCCAACUUCAAUAAUUUCACCACACUUACUGUUAGACUCAUGCAAUCUAUCCUAAAGCCAUCAAUUCAUCCCGCAAAAUCGUCGUCGGUAGAUCUAUUUGAGGCUUCUUCGCUAGAAAUCGGUGGCUGAGGGAGAACAAGAGGAAGUUAUAAAUUUUUAGGGUUUCUUCCUUAAUCAUCUUUUUAACUUAUUAAUUUCUUGUUGAGUCCAUUAUUUUCUUUCAAUUGAAGCUUUGAAUCUAAAUUGGGGAUCUCUUAAGGUUUCUUAUAUUUUAUAAUUUUGGCCCAAUUACAAGUCCCAGCUCAGGUUUUGCUUUGCCUCUCGCCUUUGGUGGUUUACUAGGGCUGCUAUAUCUAUGCUUGAGCAGGUUUGCAAUUGGCUUUAUCUCCUACUAUGGCCUUCUUGAAGGUGAAGCAUAUGAACAAGGGUAGAUGAAAGGUGUGAAGAUCUUACUCAAGAGUAUUAGUUGAUUGUUGUUAAACUUUUAGAUGUUCUAGAAUCUUUUAUUUUAGAAACUUUUGCCAACUUAUGUAUUAACUCUUGAAUUGCCAAACGACAUUGUAUAUUUAGCUUUUAUAUAUGGAUAAUACUAGUUGGAUAUUUUAGAUAUAAUUUUAUAUA